CCUAGUUUAAUGUUGUCUGGCUUUAUCGAGGUGCUUGUGCCAUUGGAAGAUUGAGAUUUUUUCUUGAUGUGGAUGGAGCUUACAGAUAUGUUUUGAUAGUCUUACCUGUCUCGCUGGAGUUGAAUGGUUAUUCUUGGUAGCUGCAGUACAAAAUUGAAUUAGUUAUGAUUUUUUCUUGAUGUGGAUGAAGCUUUGUGGCAAGAGAAGAGGCGAGGAGAAAUCGGUGGAAAAGAGGGAAAAGAAGAUUAAGAAGCUGCUCGACUCGAUUUUCUGGAUAUGUCAAAGUCUCUUACAUCCUUGGUACACAAGACAUGACUGAAGCAAAAUACAAUAAGUGGGAGAAGGAACCCGCACCACAUGGCUGGGAUGGUCAUCUCAUCUCGUGACUUUAUUCGUUUCAUUGGUGUCUAAGGUAGUGGAACCAGAGCAGUAUGCCUCUGAUAUGGCUUAGAGGGAGCAUUGGCCGCCAGAUCAUGCCAGGCGGCAUGCUUUUCUGAUGGGAGUAUGUGCUGAACAAUACUAAUUAGUUGUGUUAGGGCAUACAUCCAUUGGUCAGGAUUCUUGUCUGUCAUGGUUGAGCACACGAUCCGGAUAAGCACCAAGUUGAUCGAUAGCUCACACGUGAUGACGAGAAGGUGAAAAGGAAGGCAGGGCGGCCAGUGAAGCUGAAGAACGCAAAGGUGGACAUGUAAAUGCGCCUGGUGGCUAGGCAUGGUUGAGAGCAUGUUGUCGGAGCUGAAGGCGACAUGAGGCUACACCAUGUCACUGAUGGAGGUGGAGCCGGGACCAUGGCAAGGUGAGAAGAGGGUCUGAGUAGCAAGAAAGGAUGUGAUGCCUUUUCAUCUUGGCUGGUUUGUUGGAUGUUGUUGCUGGCACUGGAUGAAUUGUCAUUAUUCUUGCCGCUAAGGAGGGAGGAGCCAUUAUAUUUGUUGAUAUGAUGAUGGCGUUCCUAGCCUCAUUGUGGUUAAUACUACAUACUACAUGUAAAUUUUGCUUCUUUCUUAAAUCUUUCUUUUGUAUAGAAAUGAAGACGAAUUUGUGUACUAUAAUAUUUGGAUAUAAA